rnacentral:rRNA from 1 species
AUUGAACGCUGGCGGCAGGCCUAACACAUGCAAGUCGAGCGAGCGGAGGACGGGUGAGUAAUGUAUGGGGACUGCCCGAUAGAGGGGGAUAACUACUGGAAACGGUAGCUCAUAUCGCACACUAUCGGAUAACCCAUAUGGGAUUAGCUAGUAGGUGAGGUAAUGGCUCACCUAGGCGACGAUCCCUAGCUGGUCUGAGAGGAUGAUCAGCCACACUGGGGCUGAGACACGGCCCAGACUCCUACGGAGGCAUCCGUGGUGAAUAUUGCACAAUUGGCGCAAGCCUUAUGCAGCCAUGCCGCUUGUAUGAAGAAGGCCCUAGGUUUGUAAUGAACUUUCAGUCGGGAGGCGUUGCCGACAGAAGAAGCACCGGCUAACUCCGUGCCAGCAGCCGCGGUAAUUC